rnacentral:rRNA from 1 species
CGAGCGGAUGAGAGGAGCUUGCUCCUGGAUUCAGCGGCGGACGGGUGAGUAAUGCCUAGGAAUCUGCCUGGUAGUGGGGGACAACGUUUCGAAAGGAACGCUAAUACCGCAUACGUCCUACGGGAGAAAGCAGGGGACCUUCGGGCCUUGCGCUAUCAGAUGAGCCUAGGUCGGAUUAGCUAGUUGGUGAGGUAAUGGCUCACCAAGGCGACGAUCCGUAACUGGUCUGAGAGGAUGAUCAGUCACACUGGAACUGAGACACGGUCCAGACUCCUACGGGAGGCAGCAGUGGGGAAUAUUGGACAAUGGGCGAAAGCCUGAUCCAGCCAUGCCGCGUGUGUGAAGAAGGUCUUCGGAUUGUAAAGCACUUUAAGUUGGGAGGAAGGGUUGUAGAUUAAUACUCUGCGAUUUUGACGUUACCGACAGAAUAAGCACCGGCUAACUCUGUGCCAGCAGCCGCGGUAAUACAGAGGGUGCAAGCGUUAAUCGGAAUUACUGGGCGUAAAGCGCGCGUAGGUGGUUUGUUAAGUUGGAUGUGAAAUCCCCGGGCUCAACCUGGGAACUGCAUCCAAAACUGGCAAGCUAGAGUAUGGUAGAGGGUGGUGGAAUUUCCUGUGUAGCGGUGAAAUGCGUAGAUAUAGGAAGGAACACCAGUGGCGAAGGCGACCACCUGGACUGAUACUGACACUGAGGUGCGAAAGCGUGGGGAG